rnacentral:lncRNA from 1 species
UGAUUCGUUGUUUCUCCCGGCACUCAGCACAGUGCAGGGCGCAUGCAGCCCUUCCAUACAUGUUUAUUAGAGGAUCGAUUAACUCGUGGGUUAUUUCUAUGAUGAUGUUGCAACCUAAUAAACCAUCCUUCUCUUCCUCAGAGGCAAUUUUCUAACACGAGAAAGAAAUCUCUUGAAGAGCAUUUGGAGCACGCUAGACAACCCGGCCACCCGCUGUCAGUCUUUCGUGAGAACCAAAAAUCUCGUUUCUGCAUCCAUCCGACGGAAAACCAGCACCGAAGACCACACUCUUCAGUUCGUUCCUAUGUGAACACAUAUUACUGUUUUCAGCCAAGAGGAAACAGAAUGGUUUUAGCAAGAAAGUUCUUAGUCUGGGUGGAAGACCCAUACUGCAAUCCCCUUUUGCAGCGCAGAGCUGAGAUGGCUCCUCAGACAUCUUCCUUGUGCCCAGAGAAUCUUGAUAGAGAUGGCCACAUUGAUCCAGAAACUAAAGGAACUAGAGCACAGAGCUGCUGUGCCAUUCUCUCUCCAGCAAGAUCCAAGAAUGAAUGAAAGGGAGCACGAGGAAUGGGCCCAACAGCAGCCUCUGCCUUUCCAAGUGUGGGAGGCAGGUGUCCCUCGAUGGGAGCUAGACUAAGCCUUAAGGAGACUGGCUAUGGGCCAAGCCUGGACAAAAGAAGCCCUGGUGGCCAUACUCCUCUGUGUACCCUGAUUGGAUCUGGAUAAGUUGCAGGAAGUUUUCUGUUCUCUGAUCCUAAAGGACUAGAAUUUAGGGUCUUCUCUUUGUAAGCUUGUCCAGUGUUUCCAUGGUUUUAAUUGACUAAACCCAAUGCAGUAUUGGUUUCUGAAACCCUCAAAGUCCCCAACAGUGAGGAAACAAACAAAAGUAUCUCCCCCAUCGGCUACCCAAGUUCCUAACGAAGCUCUUGAGACAAGCCCUAGGGUUCUCUCAUCCUUAGCUCUUGGUACCCCAGAGGGAUUUUCAUAAGGAUGGUCCCAGGAGAACUGGCAUGAGGGAUUACCUUCUCUUGGGGAAAAUAAAUAUACAAAGCUCCUAAAAUCCGGAGUUUAAGCGAUGGCAUUUUUUCCUGGGCUACUUCUCAAGCCAAAGGAACCAAGGACCGAUCUCAACUUCAAGAAAUACAGCAAUGAUUUGAGGUUUUCUCUGAUACUGUAGAAAGCUGAAUUUUCCUUACUUUGUAGGUUUUAGCUUCCCUUGUAAAUAAAUGGCUCUUGAACACAAGGUGUUUUUACCAGCUUCCUCUGAAUAGAUUCAGCCCUUUCAGUGACUUUUAAAAAUCACUAUCUGGAAAGUGAUUCCUUCUUCCUUUUACCAAGGUCAGAAGCAGUGACUGGCUGUGGGCAGAAGUAAGUGAAAAUGG